AAUUUCUCCCCAUCCUGGUUGUACCUCAAUAAAAACGUGUCCCCCCCCAAAAAAUUGGGGGUCUGGAGUGUGGGUGUGUCCCUCCUUUUAUUCCUUUUUGGGGGGGGGGGUCCCCAAAGUCCCCCCCCAUCCUGGUUGUACCCCAGUAAAAGUGUGUGUCCCCCCCCAAAAUUGGGGAUCUGGAGUGUGGGUGUGUCCCUCCUUUUAUUCCUUUUUGGGGGGGGUCCCCCAAAUUCCCCCCCCAUCCUGGUUAUACCCCAAUAAAAACGUGUGUCCCCCCCCCAAAAUUAGGGGUCUGGAAAGUGUG